rnacentral:rRNA from 1 species
AAUGGGUCAGCGACUUAUAUUCUGUAGCAAGGUUAACCGAAUAGGGGAGCCGAAGGGAAACCGAGUCUUAACUGGGCGUUAAGUUGCAGGGUAUAGACCCGAAACCCGGUGAUCUAGCCAUGGGCAGGUUGAAGGUUGGGUAACACUAACUGGAGGACCGAACCGACUAAUGUUGAAAAAUUAGCGGAUGACUUGUGGCUGGGGGUGAAAGGCCAAUCAAACCGGGAGAUAGCUGGUUCUCCCCGAAAGCUAUUUAGGUAGCGCCUCGUGAAUUCAUCUCCGGGGGUAGAGCACUGUUUCGGCAAGGGGGUCAUCCCGACUUACCAACCCGAUGCAAACUGCGAAUACCGGAGAAUGUUAUCACGGGAGACACACGGCGGGUGCUAACGUCCGUCGUGAAGAGGGAAACAACCCAGACCGCCAGCUAAGGUCCCAAAGUCAUGGUUAAGUGGGAAACGAUGUGGGAAGGCCCAGACAGCCAGGAUGUUGGCUUAGAAGCAGCCAUCAUUUAAAGAAAGCGUAAUAGCUCACUGGUCGAGUCGGCCUGCGCGGAAGAUGUAACGGGGCUAAACCAUGCACCGAAGCUGCGGCAGCGACACUGUGUGUUGUUGGGUAGGGGAGCGUUCUGUAAGC